AGUGAGCGCUGGCGGUAGGCCUAACACAUGCAAGUCGAACGGCAGCACAGUAAGAGCUUGCUCUUACGGGUGGCGAGUGGCGGACGGGUGAGGAAUACAUCGGAAUCUACUUUUUCGUGGGGGAUAACGUAGGGAAACUUACGCUAAUACCGCAUACGACCUACGGGUGAAAGCAGGGGAUCUUCGGACCUUGCGCGAUUGAAUGAGCCGAUGUCGGAUUAGCUAGUUGGCGGGGUAAAGGCCCACCAAGGCGACGAUCCGUAGCUGGUCUGAGAGGAUGAUCAGUCACACUGGAACUGAGACACGGUCCAGACUCCUACGGGAGGCAGCAGUGGGGAAUAUUGGACAAUGGGCGCAAGCCUGAUCCAGCCAUACCGCGUGGGUGAAGAAGGCCUUCGGGUUGUAAAGCCCUUUUAUUGGGAAAGAAAAGCAGCAGGUUAAUACCCCGCUGUUCUGACGGUACCCAAAGAAUAAGCACCGGCUAACUUCGUG
rnacentral:rRNA from 1 species